UCUUUGUUAGUAUAUCGGUUAGUACACGCGCCUGUCAUGAACGUGACACGUCGAGCGCGCGAAAGCUGGGUUCGACUCCCAGACAGAGAG